rnacentral:rRNA from 1 species
AUUGAACGCUGGCGGCAUGCCUAACACAUGCAAGUCGAACGCGAAAGUCCUUCGGGGCGAGUAGAGUGGCGGACGGGUGAGUAAUGCGUGGGAAUCUACCUCGUAGUGGGGGAUAACCCGGGGAAACUCGGGCUAAUACCGCAUACGUUCUAUGGAAGAAAGGGGGCCUCUGCUUGCAAGCUCUCGCUAUGGGAUGAGCCCACGUCCGAUUAGCUAGUUGGUGGGGUAAAGGCCUACCAAGGCGACGAUCGGUAGCUGGUCUGAGAGGAUGACCAGCCACACUGGGACUGAGACACGGCCCAGACUCCUACGGGAGGCUG